UUGGGUCCCCUUCCACACUGCGGAAGCUUUCUUCUUUCACUCUUUGCAGUAAAUCUUGCUGCUGCUCACUCUUUGGGUCCACACCACCUUUAUGAGCUGUAACACUCACCAUGAAGGUCUGCAGCUUCACUCCUGAAGUCAGCAAGACCACAAACCCACCAGAAGGAAGAAAUUCUGGACACAUCUGAACAUGUGAAGGAACAAACUCCGGAUACAUCAUCUUUAAGAACUAUAACACUCACCGUGAGGGUCCGCGGCUUCAUUCUUGAAGUCAGCAAGACCAAGAACCCACCAAUUCCAGACACAUUUUGGUGACCCAGAUGGGACUAUUGCCUAUUGCCAAGCAGUGAGAUUAUCAUCUAUCACCAAGCAAUGGGAAACACUCAGGCAUCAAAAGGCCCACCUGUGAAAUGCAUCCUAAGCCAUUGGACCAAUUUGACC
rnacentral:lncRNA from 1 species